AGUGAGCGCUGGCGGUAGGCCUAACACAUGCAAGUCGAACGGCCGCACAGUAAGCGCUUGCUCUUACGGGUGGCGAGUGGCGGACGGGUGAGGAAUACAUCGGCAUCUACUUUUUCGUGGGGGAUAACGUAGGGAAACUUACGCUACUACCUCAUACGACCUACGGGUGAAAUCAGGGGUUCUUCGGACCUUGCGCGAUUGAAUGAGCCGAUGUCGGAUUAGCUAGUUGGCGGGGUAAAGGCCCACCAAGGCGACGAUCCGUAGCUGGUCUGAGAGGAUGAUCGGCCACACUGGAACUGAGACACGGUCCAGACUCCUACGGGAGGCAGCAGUGGGGAAUAUUGGACAAUGGGCGCAAGCCUGAUCCAGCCAUACCGCGUGGGUGAAGAAGGCCUUCGGGUUGUAAAGCCCUUUUGUUGGGAAAGAAAAGCAGCAGGUUAAUACCCCGCUGUUCUGACGGUACCCAAAGAGUAAGCAACGGCUAACUUCGUG
rnacentral:rRNA from 1 species